rnacentral:rRNA from 1 species
UACGUAGGGUGCUAGCGUUGUUCGGAAUCAUUGGGCGUAAAGCGCGUGUAGGCUGUUAGUUAAGUCGGGUGUGAAAUCCCUGGGCUCAACCGAGGAGGUGCAUCCGAAACUAACUAGCUAGAAGAUGGUAGAGGAAGGUGGAAUUCCUAGUGUAGAGGUGAAAUUCGUAGAUAUUAGGAGGAAUACCGGUGGCGAAGGCGGCCUUCUGGACCAUUCUUGACGCUGAGACGCGAAAGCGUGGGGAGCAAACAGG